CUCUCUCUCUCUCUAGAGUUUUUUUCCUCAAAGAGGAUGGGAAUUGGCUCUAUUUCUCUGUCUACAUGCAACUUGAUUUUGGUGUUUUCUCCUCUGACUAAAGUUUCUUGCUCAAAUGAGUAUUCCAAUCUGCUUUCUCUCCCUACAUACAAGCUUGAUUUUUGGGGCAUGAGAUGGGCUCUGUGAUACUCAUUUCAGCAAGCAACCUUACACUGGAGGUUAUUAUCAUAAAGAUGAUUUUGGGCAUCUCUCUCUAGGUUUGGGCAAGACAACGCUACCAGGUAAAUCAAGUUUCUCUCUCUAGGUUGAUUAUAGCAAAAGAGAAGCUGAUUCUUGGCAAGACAACAUUACCAGGUAUCUCUCUCUCUCUCUAAAUCAGGACAGGUAAAUUUUCUCUUUCUAAGGUCAUAUGAAAUUUUAGCAUAUUUCCAUAUAUGUAGCAGGUAUUAACAUGGAAGUCUUUUGCAACCGUCACUACCUAACUCUUUCUCUCUCUAAAUCUUUCAGGUAGUUAGGAAGCAAAAAUCUAACUCGCCAAAGGCUGGUUCCGAGUUACUGGUUCAAUCGGCCUGACCUAGAAAGUCUUAAAUGAUAAAAAAAAAAAUUAAAAAAUCAAAAGUAAAACAUAAAAAUUCAAAAAAAAUUACGAAAGUUAGAUUUAAAGCAUGAUUAAAUAGAGUACAUCUAAAUGAAGUUAAAAAGUACGAAAACAAUUGAUUUAAAAAAAAAUCGAUCGGUGCAAAUAUUUUAAAAAAUAUAUGAAGAAAAUGUAAAAAUAAAUAUGCAUUUCCAUAAUACUCUCCUGCUAAAGUGAUAAUAAACAUUCAAAAAUACAUUACAAAUAAAUCUUUUAUUUUGUGAGAUUUUAUAUAUAUUUUUCACAUAGCUCUUUUUAUAAAAAAAACGCCUUUUGUUUUUUAGUAAAAGUCCCGUUUUUUAGUGAUAUCCUUCGGUCUCUUAAAAUAUCAGACGGUUUGUCUAAAGGCCGUAUUGGGUACGUGGGUGGGGUCCGACUCCGAAACCGGGUUUAGUUGGGAUCGGCAGGGCCCUGGUUCCGAGUUGAAACGGCCGUUAUUGCGAACACGGUUGGGAAGUCACAGGGUACCUAUUUCUCUCUCUAAAUUUUUUGGCAGGUGGUUAAGUCCCUCUAAUGCAUAAUAAGAUCGACCGCUCAUAUUAAGUUGAGGGUGCAACCUGAUGCAGGAGAUUAUCAAUGGAGUUUUGGAAGAGAUUGAGAUAUAUGCCGUGGAAUCUCUCUCUCUCUCUCUCUUGUGAAAUGGAAUCGAACUUGAGACAAGUCGAAGUCUUCAACAAAGCCAUGAACCAAGCCUUUUUAUUCAGACAUGAUAAUCAUCGAGAGGGGGAGAGUGAUUUCGAUCUCUCUCUCUCCCUAUCCCUCUCUUCUCUCUCAAACUGUUUCUCUCUCUAACUGAAACUGAUCUUCCAAAUUUGAGGGAUACACCCUCUCUCAGUAUCUCCUCUUUGUAAGUCUGUGUUAUUCUCUGAAUAAAUAUUUAUCUGUUUCUCCA